GGCGGACGGGUGAGUAAUGCUUAGGAAUCUGCCUAUUAGUGGGGGACAACAUUCCGAAAGGGAUGCUAAUACCGCAUACGUCCUACGGGAGAAAGCAGGGGAUCACUUGUGACCUUGCGCUAAUAGAUGAGCCUAAGUCGGAUUAGCUAGUUGGUGGGGUAAAGGCCUACCAAGGCGACGAUCUGUAGCGGGUCUGAGAGGAUGAUCCGCCACACUGGGACUGAGACACGGCCCAGACUCCUACGGGAGGCAGCAGUGGGGAAUAUUGGACAAUGGGGGGAACCCUGAUCCAGCCAUGCCGCGUGUGUGAAGAAGGCCUUUUGGUUGUAAAGCACUUUAAGUGGGGAGGAGGCUUACCUGGUUAAUACCUGGGCUAAGUGGACGUUACCCACAGAAUAAGCACCGGCUAACUCUGUGCCAGCAGCCGCGGUAAUACAGAGGGUGCGAGCGUUAAUCGGAUUUACUGGGCGUAAAGCGCGCGUAGGUGGUUAAUUAAGUCAAAUGUGAAAUCCCCGAGCUUAACUUGGGAAUUGCAUUCGAUACUGGUUAGCUAGAGUAUGGGAGAGGAUGGUAGAAUUCCAGGUGUAGCGGUGAAAUGCGUAGAGAUCUGGAGGAAUACCGAUGGCGAAGGCAGCCAUCUGGCCUAAUACUGACACUGAGGUGCGAAAGCAUGGGGAGCAAACAGGAUUAGAUACCCUGGUAGUCCAUGCCGUAAACGAUGUCUACUAGCCGUUGGGGGAUUUGAUCCUUUAGUGGCGCAGCUAACGCGAUAAGUAGACCGCCUGGGGAGUACGGUCGCAAGACUAAAACUCAAAUGAAUUGACGGGGGCCCGCACAAGCGGUGGAGCAUGUGGUUUAAUUCGAUGCAACGCGAAGAACCUUACCUGGCCUUGACAUAGUAGAAACUUUCCAGAGAUGGAAAGGUGCCUUCGGGAAUCUACAUACAGGUGCUGCAUGGCUGUCGUCAGCUCGUGUCGUGAGAUGUUGGGUUAAGUCCCGCAACGAGCGCAACCCUUUUCCUUACUUGCCAGCAUUUCGGAUGGGAACUUUAAGGAUACUGCCAGUGACAAACUGGAGGAAGGCGGGGACGACGUCAAGUCAUCAUGGCCCUUACGGCCAGGGCUACACACGUGCUACAAUGGUCGGUACAAAGGGUUGCUACACAGCGAUGUGAUGCUAAUCUCAAAAAGCCGAUCGUAGUCCGGAUCGCAGUCUGCAACUCGACUGCGUGAAGUCGGAAUCGCUAGUAAUCG
rnacentral:rRNA from 1 species